UACGUAGGGACCAAGCGUUGUUCGGAUUUACUGGGCGUAAAGGGCGCGUAGGCGGCCGAUCAAGUCGGGGGUGAAAGCCUGUGGCUCAACCACAGAAUUGCCUUCGAUACUGUUUGGCUUGAGACCGGAAGAGGUUAGUGGAACUGCGAGUGUAGAGGUGAAAUUCGUAGAUAUCAGGAGGAACACCAGUAGCGAAGGCGGCACUCUGGGCCGGUACUGACGCUGAGGAGCGAAAGCGUGGGGAGCGAACAGG
rnacentral:rRNA from 1 species